rnacentral:lncRNA from 1 species
GGGAAAUUGCAAAUAUUUGUGAAGAUGAGACUGUGAUUGAUUGUGCCACCAAUAUGGGAAUUUUGAGAGCUAUCGGGAAAUUCCUAGAAGACUUGAGUUACCAUAUAUUUCGUAACUUCAGAAAGCACAGUGCAGUGCUCCCCAUGAUAACAUCAAUUAGUGGGAAAAACUCCUCCAAAAGAAAUCCCAAAGAAUGCUUCAACAGUGAAGGGCGCCAAACAGCAGAUGCAGAAACAUCUGCAAACACUUCCUAAGGGCAGGAGAGUGGAUUCUGUUAAUCACACUGUGGGCAGCAUAGCCUUCCCAGCAGAGAGAAACACAGUUGGAACAUUGAUGACAAGAGUGUGGACUUCCACUUACAAAUAUAUAACUGAUUGGAGCAAAUAAAAAUAAAAUAAUAAAAAAUUUAAAAAUCAGUCUGCAAAAAAUCAUUGCAGAUAGGAAACCCACAUUGUGCAAAAAAUUCCAGCAUCUGAGCAACUGAGUUAUCCAAAAAUGAAGGUUCAUGUGGCAUUGUAAACCUCAGCUGUGUCACCAGCCACGGUUGUAGAUUCUAAAGGAAAAACUCAUCAUCAACUUAAAUAGAUAGAAUAGGUUUUUCCCAUAAAAUCAUGAGAUUAAAUACCACAUAAUAAAAGUUAAAAAUUUUAGGAUGUAGCAAUAGAGAAGAUUUUACUUACCUUGAGAUUAUAUCAGCUGAAUAAACAGUAUCAUAUUUGGGGUUAAACAUGGGAAGCCUCCCUCUCAGAUCAGAUCUGAGUAAAAGUAUCUUCUUUCCCUGUAUCUUCAAAAGUAUCUUCUGCUCCUCAUGCCUGCAGAGGGCUUGAUUGUCAGUACAGUAGGUUCAGGUUAUAAUCACUGGAAAGAAGGCAGCAUUAUCCUUCUUCAUAAACAGAUUAAAUUUUAUGGAGGCAAACUGCAGAAGUAUUCACUAAAUUAUUUGAAUUAUAUGAGAGAUUGUUCUAGAUUAUUGGGAACAAAGACAUAAAAAAUUUUUUGAAUUACUAUAUUUUAUCACAAAACUAUUAUUAAAUCUCCAUUUAAGAAUGAUACCAUUUAGAUAGACUUUUUAAAAGGAGAUGAAAAUCAGAAAUGAGACAUGAUAAAAAUGUUAAGCUUGCAAUUGGAAAAUGAUGACAUAAAUUACUCUAAAUGACUGUAGCAUUUUAAUAAAAUUGAUGUCCACUAAUUUUAAAAAGGUGAUAAAGGUAUAUAUAUGGAAGCAUGCUGCAGAGACACAUAAGACUGAGAGUAGAGUAGAAAGGCAGGCAUAAAAUGAAAUUGGAUGCAACUCUUUUGAAAUAUAACUGAAUAUCAAAUGAGUCAUGAAAAUGAAGAUGAGAACCUAAGAAAAAUAAUAGAUUACAGGACACCUGAGACAGUGUAUGGAACAGAAUGGAAAUUUCUCAUAGGUGUUAAGAGAAAAAUCAAGAUCAAUGUGGGACAGAGAUUUUAAACACAGCUCAAUUGAAAUCCUGACAGAAAUGCAGUGGUAUGACAGCCACUAACACACACAGGAAAUGAAGGAAUGGAAACAGCACAGGCAUAUAUGAAAGAAAAGAGAAUUAGAGUUAGAAAUUAAGAGAGAGGAACAUAUGGGGACAUUAAGACAAAUAUUAGAAAGAAAAAUCUGAAACGGACUCAAGUCCCUUGCAGAAGCUCAGAUGUGGUAAAGGGAAUUCAUGUAGGAUCUUCCCACCUCACUGUCUCCUGGUGCUGAGGGCUGCAGGGUCCUUCUCCAGGCAGUCAGCCUCUUUGACACAGUGAGGUGUCUUGGAAAGGCAGUGUUUGACCUGCAAAGCCUCAAUUUCAGGGACAGAAUGACUACACCUCUCCUCCCAGGGGUCAUCCAUCACCUUGUCACUUCCUGCCUCAAUGACCUUGUUUACCAUGAAUCAUUUUGAUGCACCCAGAGGAGCGUGGGAUCCUCUCCCAGCACACAAUGAUCCUCUGGGAGUAACUGUUAGGUUUAUUAAUCAGGAGUGCUAAGUCAUCACUAGAGAAUGUGUUUUCUCCUGUUGGACUGCUUCAGAAAGUAAACCUGAGGAUCUAGAAAGACACUGAAAGUAUCCACACAGUUGAUGGAAAUGGCCACAGCUCUGGAUCCAAGCUGACCCCUAGCAGUUCUCCAGAGAACAUGCUGGCUGCUCCACGGGGGGCCAUUGUUCCUUCUGCAGUCACUCUGUGAUUCAAUGUCCUCCACACUCCCUGAAGCACAGGCAAGGGGGAACUUUUACUUUUAAUAGCCUGAAUUUUUAAUAGCCUAAAAUUGUUAAUUUAAUAGCCUGAAUUGCUUCAUCAUUUAUAUUUCCACACCAUACUUACAACAUUAGCAAAAUGUUCUGCAUUUGUCAAAAAAAUAACAUUCUGUCUUUAAAAUUAAAAUUUGCUUCCUCUUCAAGAUGGGAUACACAAACUCCCAAAUCUCCAUUGCUCCACCCAACAGUCAUGAAGAUGGAGGGGUUACAAAUCAGUAUCCCAUGAAGUCCUGAUGAACCCGUACACUCGACCCUACCUGUGCAUACAUGUGCUAACAAGCAUAGAAAGGAGUUUGAGAACUAAGCCCAGGGGACCUCUGCCCAAUCCCUUGUAUACAUUCUAGGACUGGAUCUGAAUAGCAAAGCUAAGGUUGUAAACCAACACUGGAAUCCUGAGUUCACAGAAAAUAUCAACAAGCAGGGAAAUAGAACACAUUCUCUAUUGAAUAUCAAUAGGAUCACAAGUUCUGAACUAUAAAAUCCAUGUGUUCUGAAAAAAACAAAAAUAAAAUAUCAUUAAGACCACAAGUUUGAAUAUUAUCCUAGUGUUAAAAGUGGUUUACACAUAACCAUUACAGUACUAAAUGUGCUGUAGUUGAACAUAUACUUUUCACUCAGAGGCCUCCACGGUGAGAUGUGGCCUGCUACUGAGGUCUAUUGGGUCCCAGCCCAGACUUUGCAUGGUGGUGAGACUGUGUUCAGAAGAGGCCACCUGCUGGGGCUCUGCAGCAGAGAGGGGAUUGGUAGGCUGAAUUUUGUGGUCAUUGUUUUGAAGUUUGAGCAACAAAAUCUCUCCUUGCAUAGUGAACAUCAAUCAAUACACACCCAACAAUGAGUCAACAAAGAAGUUCAAAGUAUUUGCCACUAAAGUGAAAGGAGAAUUACAAAAAUGCUCAAGCUAGCUAACUAACCUUUCAACAAAGCAAUGCUGAUACUUACUGAUGUUUGAUGUUUUAUUUGGUUUGGUUUGGUACCAGGGAUUGAGCCUGGGCGCUGAACCACUCAGCCACAUUGCCAGCCCUUUUUUAUAUGUUAUUUAGAGACAGGGUCUCCCUGAAUUGCAGAGUGCCUUGGUCAUCUGCUGAGACUAGUUUUGGACUUGGGAUCCUAUUGCCUCAGCCCCUUGAGUUGCUGGGAUUACAGGCGUACACUGCCAUGGCCAGAACUUGGUGAUGUUUGAAAAGAGAAUAUAAAGCCAAGGAAUAGAAGGUAUAAUGAUAACCGAAUGGAAGUUAUAGAGUUCAUAAACACAGCAACCAAAAUUGAAACUCCAUGAAUGUCCUAAGUGAAAGAAAUGAUGACAAUUGGGAAAGUGGGUAUAGUGUCAGAUAGAUCAGUAAGUAGAAACCAGUAGGAACAAGACAGAGGAAAAGGGCUUGAAGGAAAAUGAAGAAAGUUCACCCCUGUAGGACAAAACCAAAAGUAUCACAUUUAUUCAGAGUAACAGAAGGAAAGAGAAAUAAAUGUGGGAUGAGAAAAGAUAUGAGAAAAAAUAGUUGAGGGGCUGGGGAUGUGCCUCAAGCGGUAGCUCGCUCGCCUGGCUGGAACGGGGCACUGGGUUGGAUCCUCAGCACCAUAUAAAAAUAAAAUAAAGAUGUUGUGUCCACCAAAAACUAAAAAUAAAUAUUAAAAAAUUCUCUCUCUCUUUUCUCUCUCUCUUAAAAAAAAAGAAAAAGAAGUUGAAAGUUUGUUGAGAGACAUAGAUCAACCAUUAAAAAGCUGAGCUAG